rnacentral:SRP_RNA from 1 species
GCCAGGCAUGCUGUCACAAGCCUGUAGUCCCAGCUACUCGGGAGGCUGAGGCAGGAGAAUUGCUUGAAUCCGGGAGGCAGAGGUUGCAUUGAGCCAAGAUCAUGCCACUGCACUCCAGCCUGGGUGACAAGGGUGAGACUCCAUCUCAAAGAAAAAAAAGAAAUAUAUGUGUGUUUACUAACCUGUGUAUAUAGAAAUAUUUUUUUUCUUUUUCUUUUUUUUUGUUUUUGAGAUGGAGUCUCACUCUGUCACCCAGGCUGGAGUGCAGUGGCAUGAUCUUGGCUCAAUGCAACCUCUGCCUCCCGGAUUCAAGCAAUUCUCCUGCCUCAG